CACCGGAGCAGCUGAUUGAUGUUCUCCUCGCUGUCAUCAUGCAGCCCAGAUGGCACUUCCUGUUUGGCAACACCUCACGUGGGCUCCCUGGUCCCCCACCAACUCUGCCAGUCACCAACCCACACAGUCAAAUGUGUACAGCAGUAGAGGUUUGCCAAGAACACAUCCUCGUGUCUGCCAAGGAGAGACUGCUUGGGGAAGAACAUUCUAGAGAACGGUUGGAGGCGCAGGGCACUGCCUAGGAAACAGUGAGCUCUAUCUUAACUAAGGGAGAAAACAAAACCACAGCAGUUUUCGUUGCUGAAAAAGACAAAAACCGACUCAUUUGCUUAAUAGGCCCAGACGGAGGAGCUUUAUUUCUGGGAGGAAAUGCUAACGCCUCCAGGCCAAGGAGUCUUGGCUGGGCCUCGGAAUGGCCAGAGUCUGCAGCAGAUAUCCUGGGUCUGCAGUUUAGAGGCCACGCGGCCGGGGGCAGGAGGACCACCAGCGCAGGGCCCGGAGGACCCAGGGGUCGAGCCCCCAAGAGUGACGGGAGGUGCCUGGCAAAACACCGUCAGUUGCGCCAUGAAAAUGGAGCCCGCCGCAUCACCAGGCCUCUCUUGCUACUUCUGGGUCCAGGAUCCGUUUGUUUAUUUGUGUUUUCCUUCCUCUUAUUUUCUGUUAUUAAUUUUGGCAAUCGAUCAAGUCCCGUUUCAUCUGUUCUCUCCUCAUUGGCCUGUUUCCCUCGGGUCUCAUGGCGUGUUUUCAGCUUCUUUAUUUUCAGUCUUUCUUCUUUAUUGAUGAAGGUGUGGUAAGCCAUCCAUUUCCCCCUGAGUUGAACUUUUUUUCAGGGACCCAUUGGUUUUAAAAAUAAAAUGUUCCCCUUUUCA